CACACUGAAAUACCGCUUCUCGUACGAUCACCGAAGUUAAGCAAUGUUGUGCCUGGUCAGUACAUAGAUGGGUGACCGCAUGGGAAUACAGGUGGUGU